CUUUACUGUAACCUGGUAUUGGGUUCGGGCUUUGACUGCGCAGGAUAGGUGGGAGACUAUGAAGCAAUCCUUGUGGGGAUUGUGAGUCAACAGUGAGAUACCACUCUGUCAGAGCUAGAAUUCUAACCUUCACCCGUUAUCCGGGGAAGGAACCGUAUCAGGCGGGCAGUUUGACUGGGGCGGUCGCCUCCUAAAUGGUAACGGAGGCGCGCAAAGGUGUUCUCAGGCUGGUUGGAAAUCAGCCGCUGAGUGUAAAGGCAGAAGAACGCUUGACUGUGAGAGUGACAACUCGAGCAGGGUGGAAACACGGCCUUAGUGAUCCGACGGCUUGUGCGUGGAAAUGCCGUCGCUCAACGGAUAAAAGUUA
rnacentral:rRNA from 1 species